rnacentral:rRNA from 1 species
UACUACCUAGUGACCGAUAGUGAACCAGUACCGUGAGGGAAAGGUGAAAAGCACCCCGGGAGGGGAGUGAAAUAGAACCUGAAACCGUGUGCCUACAACAAGUUAGAGCCCGUUAAUGGGUGAUAGCGUGCCUUUUGUAGAAUGAACCGGCGAGUUACGAUUGCAUGCGAGGUUAAGUUGAAGAGACGGAGCCGUAGCGAAAGCGAGUCUGAAUAGGGCGAUAGAGUAUGUAGUCGUAGACCCGAAACCAUGUGAUCUACCCAUGUCCAGGUUGAAGGUGCGGUAAAACGCACUGGAGGACCGAACCAGGACACGUUAAAAAGUGUUUGGAUGAGGUGUGGGUAGCGGAGAAAUUCCAAACGAACUUGGAGAUAGCUGGUUCUCUCCGAAAUAGCUUUAGGGCUAGCCUCGGAAGUAAGAAUGAUGGAGGUAGAGCACUGUUUGGACUAGGGGCCCAUCUCGGGUUACCGAAUUCAGAUAAACUCCGAAUGCCAUUCAUUUAUAUCCGGGAGUCAGACUGCGAGUGAUAAGAUCCGUAGUCGAAAGGGAAACAGCCCAGACCACCAGCUAAGGUCCCCAAAUGUAUGUUAAGUGGAAAAGGAUGUGGGGUUGCACAGACAACUAGGAUGUUGGCUUAGAAGCAGCCACCAUUUAAAGAGUGCGUAAUAGCUCACUAGUCGAGUGACCCUGCGCCGAAAAUGUACCGGGGCUAAACAUACUACCGAAGCUGUGGAUUGUACUUACGUACAAUGGUAGGAGAGCGUUCUAAGGGCGUUGAAGGUAGAUCGUGAGGACUGCUGGAGCGCUUAGAAGUGAGAAUGCCGGUAUGAGUAGCGAAAGACAGGUGAGAAUCCUGUCCACCGAAUAACUAAGGUUUCCUGGGGAAGGCUCGUCCGCCCAGGGUUAGUCGGGACCUAAGCCGAGGCCGACAGGCGUAGGCGAUGGACAACAGGUUGAUAUUCCUGUACCACUUAUUAAACUGAUGGAGUGACGGAGAAGGCUAAGUUGAGCGUGUGAUUGGAUUCACGUGUAAGCAGUGAGGUGGUCAUGUAGGCAAAUCCGCAUGGCAUAACAUUGAGCUGUGAUGCCGAAGCCGAAUGGCGAAGUCAACUGACGUCACGCUUCCAAGAAAAGCUUCUAGGGUUAAUUUAAUAAGUGCCCGUACCGAUAACCGACACAGGUAGGCGAGGAGAGAAUCCUAAGAUGAGCGAGAGAACUCUUGUUAAGGAACUCGGCAAAAUGACCCCGUAACUUCGGGAGAAGGGGUGCUGAGCGCAAGCUCAGCCGCAGUGAAUAGGCCCAGGCGACUGUUUAUCAAAAACACAGGUCUCUGCUAAACCGCAAGGUGAUGUAUAGGGGCUGACCCUGCCCGGUGCU